CGUCUCCUCCACCCUCCUCCUUGGUGUGGAUUUAAGCCCGAGCUCUGCUCGGGCUUUUUCUU
rnacentral:ncRNA from 1 species